GAUGAGCUGACCAUUUCAUCCUCGGGUCGACUUUAUUAAGACAAAGCAGUCUGGAACAAUCAACACAACACAUGCAUGAUGAACAAGCCACAGUGAGAUGACGGCAUCCGAAGGUGGAUGAUGGCAACCGGCAAGGAAUUUUCCCACACAACCUUCUCUUACAGGUCUACCUAACAACUGACCUUCCUCAUGGGGCUGUCUCAAUCCCAUGCCCCACUUGAUUCAAGUGUGACUCACACAGGUAUCUAUCAAAAGAUCUAUCCCUCUAGUUUCAUAUCUAAUGUGUUCUAAUUUGACCGCUGUCACCGGGUAACUUCGCCUUUGAUCCGCCUUCAUGUGAGGGAGUCAUCGCACCGCCCUGUGGAGCGGAUAACAGUAACUCCACUUCACGUUACUGAGAUGAGCGAUCGCUUCACGACUUCAAUAUUUCUACUUUUAAAUU